AUAAUUGAAAGAUUGAUUAAAACAAAAAUACGAUUUUUGUUUUUGCGGCUACUAGUGUCUCUUCGAUUGCUGCCACUGGUUGGAGAAGGAAAGGUGCGACUGAAGGAAGAGCGAAAGGUGAUCUACGAUUGUUGCGACUGUAGGAAGAAGGAAAGAGGGAAAAUCAUUGUUAAUAGUUUAAGCUUGUUUUAAAAGAAUGAAUUCAUCAUAUGAAGAUAUUCGCCGCAAGACAAUAGAAGAUAAUAAAAAAAGAUGAAGGCUCUCAAUCUGACUCAACUCUCUCAAUCUAUUUACAAAUCUUCUUCGUCAUCUUCAAAACCAUCAUCGUCUCUGAAGAGUCGUUCGAAGUUUUUACAACCUGGAAAUCUUGAAAUAUCCAGGAAGCGCCUACGUUUAGCGGCAACUCCACCAACUACGAUAAACCCUCUGACAACUACACCAACAAAUAAUCGAUGUCAAACAUAAACAAAACAACAACACGAGACUCCAACAAAAUAUGUGUCAUACUAUCAUGAAAAAAUGCAGCGAUAGCCGAAUUAGAAGAAAGGGAAAAUGAGAGUUUUCAAGAGCCUUAGAUUUUCUUAUAUGGUAGAUGUGUCAACACACAUAGCAUUUCGGGUUGACACAUACUAAAGAAAUUACUUCUAUGUGUCGACACAUAUGAGUUUCAGGUCGACACAUAUGUUGCAAUUUUAAAGUUUGUAGCUUUUGUUACUCACGGGUUGACACAUGAAGUGAUAUGUGUCGACACAAGCAUUUACAUGAGUUGACACAUGACUUAUAUGUGUGGACAAAUGCUGAUAUUUUUCCCAAAAAUUACAUUCCUUUUCAAA